CUCCAGCCCCAUGGCGCCCCCUGGAUGUCCGCAGGUGAACACCGCCGAGAAGAACCCGGGUUGCAGGGUGACGUUUUGGGUUUUUUCAGAGCCACAUGGUUCCACCUUCAGGCCAGAAUGACCCAGACCCUGAAUGAGAAAUGUGGGAAACAUUCAGCCGUGGGACGGAUAUAAUCUGCAUUAUGGUUCUGGACGUCUCAUCUGAAACUUUUUACUAGGUUCAGCAGCACUGAGCAACAUCAUCGCACCAUGAAGACCAAGGAGCUCCAGACAAGUCAGGGAAGUCAGAGAGGAACAAGUCAGGGUGGAGUUAGAAAAACAUCCAGACCUCUGAUGUUCCCCUGGUACCACAACAGACCUGCCAGGAGAGGACCGCCCAUCAGAACCCACAGACCGGGCAUUAAUCAGAGGCAGCACAGAGGUCAAAGGUCACCCUGAACGAGCUGCAGAAGUCCACAGCAGAGCCUGGAGGUUCUAUAGGACCAGAAUCAGCCGUACGCUCCAUAGAGCCGGGCUUCAUGGAGGAGAGUCCAGAAAAAAAGACAUUACUGAGUGUUAAAGAUGAAAGGGCAGGUCUGAGUUUGCUAAAAGGCACGUAGGCAGCUCCCCGUAAGCAGCCCUGGUCAGAUGAGACAAAAAUGAAACUUUUCACCCACCAAGGAAAGUUCUGUCUGGCCCAAACCCAACACAUCCCAUCCAUCCAGAACACCGUCCCCACAGUGGAGCAUGGUGGUGGCAGCAUCAUGCUGUGGGGAUGUUUUUCAGCAGCAGGGACUAGAGAACUGGUCUGAGUCGAGGGAAAGAUGGUCCUGAAUACAGGGAUGCUCUGGAUCAGAACCGGUGUCAGUCUGCCUGUCAUCUGAGACUGGGCCGGAGGUUCUGCUUCCAGCACAACAACGACCUGAAGCCUCCUGCUUGUAGUUCCUGGUUCGACUGCUUUGGUUUCCUGUUUUCUCUUUGCGGCAAAAUAAAAUUAAAUCCUGUUCCUGUAACUCUUGGUUGGUGCUUUAUUUAU